GGAGAUUUGAAGAGUUCUGGGUGGGGGGAAGAGUUGAUAAAAACACCUGUCAAAUGUCAAAUUAGCAAAAGAUAAACAUUCGACGAAACACCCUGUACUUGGUUUGGUCGAUGAAACAGGCACGGAAACAACUGUUUAAUGCAAUGGGAAUGUUUAAAGCUCUUUCACACGACUAAUAUCAUGCUCAUGGGAAGCGAUUCAAGGCCGUACGAUGAAGCUGGAAUCGUAUUGAUGUGGAGAAUAUUACCCAAGCCCAUGCUGUGUCCGGUGAGUCCUGUUCGGCCACGAGUUCCAAACAUACGGAGGACACCAAUGUGAGAGUUUUCGUGAAGCGUGUGCUAGGGACUCUGCCUGAUAAUUUGUGCCUUGCUGUUUCUCCCGGAAGAAUACGAUAGAUAGCAAGCAAUUCUUCAGCAAUCCGUCGGGCACACGAUUUAUAGAAGCACAACUAUUUCGCGCAAAUAGAUUGUUGAUUUGAUCAUGUCUUAACGACGUGCAUAACCUCUCAAGGUCCAACGGAAGAGCACGAAUAUCGCUAAUCAGAGGUAAAAUAAAUCCACCGACGUAGCUGACUAA